GGAUCCUUUUUUUUUAAAAAGGUUGGCUAUGUAGGGAUGAUUGAAUUACCACAAAAAGAAGCUUGGAUAAAUGUCCUAUCCUUUCUGAGUUGGCUAUGAAUAUCAUAAGCAUAAAUCAUUUGGAAAGCAUUGAGAUCAAUGGAGAAGAAACUUUUGAGAAUGCCUCAAUUAGGCUGCAAAUUGUGGUAUUGAUUCCAGUGGACCAUGGAGCUGUCUUCAUGAUGCUAUUGGAGCUUUUAGUUGUGACAGGUUAUCUGGGAACCAAUUCUUGUUCAACUUGACACUUGAUGUAAAAUUCAUUUCUGAUCUGGACCAAGCCUUGAUUGGAACUUCCUUUCUUUUGCUGCAUGCUUUCGAGAACAUGUUCAAAUGCCAAUGUGGGAGAUUGGUAUCAUCAUCUCUUCAUCCUUCAGUACCAUUUCCACCUCUUCCUUCCCAGCCCAUGAGAAAAUACUCGUUUGAGUUGGUGAUGAACUCUUACCUCGUGAAAAAGCCUUGUGUGGGGAUGCAGUGUGGUAAGGUCUCCAUGUGUACAAUGGAAAAAAGUCUUUAAGCUUAAUGACAGAAUUUUCUUCUGGUCAAUGCAGUACUUGCUAAAUGGAAACCGCAGGUUAUCACGAAUACAAGAGGAUUAAGAAAUUGGCUUUUUGAAAAGCU